rnacentral:rRNA from 1 species
AAGAGGGAGGAUAUUGUUAACAGUACUUCUCUCGUAUCUGAAAGGGUGAUACCUGGUAUCAUGGUGUGCACACAAAUGAAUGCCCAACACCAACCGGCCCGUACGCGGGUUGAGUUUGAGUGUGCCUGUUUGGACCCGAAAGSUGGUGAACUAUGCCUGAACAAGGUGAAGCCCGGGGAAACCCAGGUGGAGGCCUGUAGCGAUGCUGACGUGCAAAUCGCUCGCAAGAUUUGGGUAUCGGAGCGAAAGACUCAUCGAACCACCUAGUAGCUGGUUCACGUCGAAGUUUCCSUCAGGAUAGCUGGUGCUAGAACUACAUGAUUAGUAUUGUGCGGUAAAGCAAAUGAUUAGAGGUAUUGGUGUUCUUAGAGUAUCGACCUAUUCUCAMACUUUAMAUGYGCAAACAAUCCAGCCUUUGCCAAGUUCGGAAGGCUGGAAAGACAGAAUUAAGGCACCAAGUGGGCCUUCCUUCGGUUAGCGGAGCAGGCGAUGCGGAAUGAACCGCUUAGGGAUAUGUGGCGUCUAACUUUUGGCUUAUUCUCGAUACGUG